GUCUCGAGACCACACCCAAGCCCCGCUCUUCUGGUCCUUGCUCCAGGUGCGAAUCCUCCUCUCGCAAUGGUGGCCUUUCCAGCACCCUGCAGAGAAAAAGUUGGGACUCCAACUCUGACUGGGCCUUAAAAGUCGCAAGCCAUUCCACCCCUUAGAAAUGUGAGAUUUGAAGGAAAGCCGAAAGGAUAAGUCAUUUUCCAAAUUUUCAUUUUUCCGAAUUCUCGGAGUAGGUGGCUGGUCGGUCCGUGCCAAGCUAAGAUGAGGCAGAUUCGCCACUAGCUGCAGUAUCGCCACAGGACCCGUUAAAAGUCACCCCGUGCCAGAUCCUCUAUAGAUGCAAUUGAGCUGGUGUGAUCAGGUGACAAGCAAGCCGUUCCUCAGUGGCACCAGUAGAUGGCACCGUAACGCAAGAGACUGAUCUUUACAUCUCCUGCGAGAACAAUCUGGUCCUGAAAGGGACAGCAGUGGGAGGAAUGGCAGCUGUGGAGUGAGGGACAGCUUGGUACAGGACGCACCAAAUGGUUCUAAAUACCUGGGAAGUGUUACCACAAGCUGCAGGCAAUGGCCCAGUUCUCCCAACAACAAAUGCGUCUGAUGUCACAAAAGUGCACCCCGAGUUUAAGAAUACCCAGAGAGGAACUAGGGAAGUGUUACAAUUGAAAUGUUUCCUUCUAUAUUGUCAGCUGACCAGAACCCUAAAAGUAUUAAUUAGGUACAACAAUACCUUCAUAGAUAUGGUAGCACAUGCCUACAACCUCAACACUUGGGAAGCUCAGACAGGAGGAUUGUUCCUGCUAAGGCAGUUCCAGGCAAGCCUGGGGCUACAUAGCAAGACCUUGUCCAAAUACAACAAACAAACAAACA